UUGCUUCAGCAACAAAUAUAUUAAAAUUAGAAUGAUGCAGAGAAGAUUAGCAUGGCCCUUGAGAAAGGAUGACACACAGAACACAUGAAUCAUUCCAUAUUUUU